UUAUUGGCAAAAUUCUCCGAAAGGGAAUGACGCAAAGCCAUGGAUCUACAGUCUCAUUUUAUCGGGACCAGGACAGCCAGGUUGCCUA
rnacentral:ncRNA from 1 species